UUCACUGAAAAAAAGGUCUCUUUGGGGUUGUUGAAAUUGCAUGAAUUUAUUGAAAGAACCUCACAUGAUUUAUUAGUGGUCCUUCUGAAAUUAAAAAAAAUCAUGUGAGCCUAAGCUAUUCCUUGAGAAUGUCAAAUUCACAUAAUUUUGUCAUGUUGGAUGGUAAGAACUACGUGACGUGACCACGCCGGUAGCUCGUGCACCUGACCUGAGUCUAAGCGGGAAGGAGGAAUCAACUGCCAUUUUCCACACAAUUGCUCUGAAGACGUUACGAGCGGCAUGCAAGAUCUACAAUGUGAGAGCGUGUAGAAGAGGAUUUACCACCUGUAGAGCAAUCGGUCCCUCACAGUCCAGUUCCAAAUACACUUCAGAAGGAGCUUGCUGCAGCAUUACUGAAAUUGGAACAUUUGGUGCAUGUGCCAGUAAAUGUGGCAGUGCAAGGGAUGUGAAUCAGCGGUUCAAAGUAGGUCUGAUCUACUUGCUCAUUACAAACUCCACCAUCCCCACUUUGGCCGCACCACAAACUACCCCUGCACAUAUACAGAUUGUCCCUGUACUUUUAAAACAUGGAACGCUCUUAUUGUUCACCAGAGUAGAGUGCACGGCACA